CAUGCUGUUCUACAAAGUCAUUAGAGGAUUCCUGACCCAGUCUCAUUCAGCAGGAAAACUAAACGUUUGCUGGAUAAAACCUUUAAAGACUUCAAGGCAGAAAUGAAGGGCAAGGUUGGGGAAGGACAGCUGUCAGGACGGAUCAGAGGCAGAGAGAUACAGGUGACUGAAGAAGAAAAAAAAAAAAUACAGAGCACCUCUGAAAAUGUCAUCUGAGACGAUGUAAAAUCAAGUUUCCCGAGAAUUAAAAGCCAUGGCGUUGAUUUAA